CCUACGGGAGGCAGCAGUGGGGGAUAUUGCGCAAUGGGGGAAAGCCUGAUGCAGCGACGCCGCGUGAGCGAAGAAGUAUUUCGGUAUGUAAAGCCCUAUCAGCAGGGAAGAACAAAUGACGGUACCUGAGUAAGAAGCACCGGCUAAAUACGUCCCAGCAGCCCCGGUAAUACGUAGGGUGCAAGCGUUAUCCGGAUUUACUGGGUGUAAAGGGAGCGCAGGCGGUACCGUAAGCCUGAUGUGAAAGGCAGCGGCGCAACCGCGGGGAUGCAUUGGGAACUACCGGGCUGGAGUGCCGGAGAGGUAGGCGGAAUUCCUAGUGUAGCGGUGAAAUGCGCAGAGAUUAGGAGGAACACCAGUGGCGAAGGCGGCCUACUGGACGGUGACUGACGCUGAGGCGCGAAAGCGUGGGGAGCAAACAGGAUUAGAUACCCUAGUAGUC
rnacentral:rRNA from 1 species